rnacentral:rRNA from 1 species
AGCUCGUCUUUUCGGUGACGCACUUAACAGAUUAAGCAUUCCGCCUGGGGAGUACGGUCGCAAGAUUAAAACUCAAAGGAAUAGACGGGGACCCGCACAAGUGGUGGAGCAUGUGGUUUAAUUCGAAGAUACACGAAGAACCUUACCUGGCCUUGACAUCCCAAGAACUUUCCAGAGAUGGAUUGGUGCUAGCUUGCUAGAACUUGGUGACAGGUGCUGCACGGCUGUCGUCAGCUCGUGUCGUGAGAUGUUGGGUUAAGUCCCGCAACGAGCGCAACCCUCGUCCUUAGUUGCUAACAGUUCGGCUGAGCACUCUAAGGAGACUGCCUCCGUAAGGAGGAGGAAGGUGAGGACGACGUCAAGUCAUCAUGGCCCUUACGGCCAGGGCUACACACGUGCUACAAUGGGGCGUACAGAGAGCUGCAAUACCGCGAGGUGGAGCCAAUCUCUUAAAGCGUCUCUCAGUUCGGAUUGUUCUCUGCAACUCGAGAACAUGAAGCUGGAAUCACUAGUAAUCGCAGAUCAGCUAUGCUGCGGUGAAUACGUUCU